CGUGCACGCGAGUCACGUGACCCAGCCUGGGAGGGAGAAAGACAAGACUUUAGCCGAAACUUGAACAUUCCAAAACUCGACGUCUAAUUAAUUAAAAAAAAGAGCGCCGCAAUUUAUUCAGCGGUCUUCACAAAACACUUGCAAGUCGUAUUGUCAUUCGUCCGGUGUAGAAAGGAGAUGACGAGACGGGGAAAUUCUAUUCAACUCUUGAGGUGCAUGUCUUUGGAGGUGGGAGGAAGCCGGAGUACCUGGAGGGAACCCACACAUUCAUGGGGAGAACAUGCAAACUCCACACAGAAAGAUCCCGAGCCUGGAUUUGAACCCAGGACUGCAGGACCUUCGUAUUGUGAGGCAGACGUACUAACCCCUCUGCCACCGCGAAUCACAAUAUUUUUAGGCCAUAUCGCGAUACACGAUAUAUAUCUCGAUAUUUUGCCUUAGCCUUGAAUGAACACUUGAUGCAUAUA